GUACAAUGACCUUUUAAAUUUCAAAAGAUUAAGGGAAUUUUGAUUUCUCAACACGAAAAUGUUCUUUUUUUAAAAGGAAAAUGUAACAAUAAUGUAAUGUAAAUGUAACAUGUAAUAGAAUUUAUGUUCUAAUGUUGUCACUUCCAUCUCUUUCCUCAGAGGGACGUCACAUUUCAAAGUUUGUGCUUAGUACCUCACUAAGACACGUUAACCCAUCGACAGCUGUGCGAAAUCAUCAUAAUUCGCACUGAAACGGCAGUUUUCUGAUGGGGGACAGUCCCACAGGAGGCGUACGAACCCUCAGAGCCCAGCUUAGGGUUUUUAAUAUACCUGCUGAAAGAUGUUACAUCCAGAAGAGAAACCUGAGAGAGAAAAUAAGGUUGUAAGAGUUUCCUCAACACUGCAUUCCCGCGUUGCAUGCUGGUUCUGUUAAAAUGCCCCCCUCAGUUAAACCACAGGGAGAAAGAAAAUGUCCUCUCUGACGCUCUGCCACAGCUGUUGCCUUUUAAAACACUCAUUGUGCAAGAGGAUAUACAACAAUUGAAACACAUCCAAUGAUAACAUGCUGGAAAAGUAGUUUAAUGCUGUGGGCACAUCUACUGUCAGGGGGAGAUUUAUCUGAAGGCCAAUGCUAAUAUGGCUGUGUUGCGUUAAGUAAUGCCCUGUUUAACUGUU
ensembl:lncRNA